rnacentral:rRNA from 1 species
UACGGAGGGUGCAAGCGUUAUCCGGAUUUACUGGGUUUAAAGGGUGUGUAGGCGGACUUUUAAGUCAGGGGUGAAAUCCCGAGGCUCAACCUCGGAACUGCCUUUGAUACUAUUGGUCUUGAAUCUUGUUGAGGUGGGCGGAACGGGUCAUGUAGCGGUGAAAUGCAUAGAUAUGACCCGGAACACCGAUUGCGAAGGCAGCCCGCUAAGCAAGCAUUGACGCUGAGGCACGAAAAGCGUGGGGGAUCAAACAGG